rnacentral:misc_RNA from 1 species
GAUGAAGAAGGCAGCGAAAUGCGAUAAGUAAUGUGAAUUGCAGAAUUCAGUGAAUCAUCGAAUCUUUGAACGCACAUUGCGCCCGCUAGUAUUCUGGCGGGCAUGCCUGUCCGAGCGUCAUUUCAACCCUCAAGCCCCCGGGCUUGGUGUUGGGGAUCGGCGAGCCUCCGCGCCCGCCGUCCCCUAAAUCUAGUGGCGGUCUCGCUGUAGCUUCCUCUGCGUAGUAGCACACCUCGCACUGGGAAACAGCGCGGCCACGCCGUUAAACCCCCAACUUCUGAACGUUUGACCUCGGAUCAGGUAGGAAUACCCGCUGAACUUAAGCAUAUCAAUAAGCGGAGGA